GACGAACGCUGGCGGCGUGCCUAAUACAUGCAAGUCGAGCGAACCAAUAAGAAGCUUGCUUUUUGUUGGUUAGCGGCGGACGGGUGAGUAACACGUGGGUAACCUGCCUGUAAGACCGGGAUAACUCCGGGAAACCGGUGCUAAUACCGGAUAGAUUAUCUUUCCGCAUGGAGAGAUAAGGAAAGAUGGCUAUUGCCAUCACUUACAGAUGGGCCCGCGGCGCAUUAGCUAGUUGGUGAGGUAACGGCUCACCAAGGCGACGAUGCGUAGCCGACCUGAGAGGGUGAUCGGCCACACUGGGACUGAGACACGGCCCAGACUCCUACGGGAGGCAGCAGUAGGGAAUCUUCCGCAAAGGACGAAAGUCUGACGGAGCAACGCCGCGUGAGCGAAGAAGGUCUUCGGAUCGUAAAGCUCUGUUGUUAGGGAAGAACAAGUAUCGGAGGAAAUGCCGGUACCUUGACGGUACCUGACGAGAAAGCCACGGCUAACUACGUG
rnacentral:rRNA from 1 species